rnacentral:rRNA from 1 species
GAAGAAGGACGUCGUAAUCUGCGAUAAGCCUCGGGGAGCUGAUAAACGAGCUGUGAUCCGAGGAUUUCCGAAUGGGGAAACCCCGCCAGGCCCUUAGGGUGACCUGGUGACUCCCGCCUGAAUAUAUAGGGCGGGUAGAGGGAACGUGGGGAAGUCAAACAUCUCAGUACCC